UACGGAGGGUGCAAGCGUUAUCCGGAUUCACUGGGUUUAAAGGGAGCGUAGGUGGAUUUUUAAGUCAGUGGUGAAAUCUCUGGGCUUAACCCGGAAACUGCCAUUGAUACUAUUAGUCUUGAAUUCUCUGGAGGUAAGCGGAAUAUGUCAUGUAGCGGUGAAAUGCUUAGAUAUGACAUAGAACACCGAUUGCGAAGGCAGCUUACUACGGAUAUAUUGACACUGAGGCACGAAAGCGUGGGGAUCAAACAGG
rnacentral:rRNA from 1 species